GUGAAAUUGUUGAAAGGGAAGCGCUUGCAACCAGACCUGCCUGCAGUUGCUCAUCCGGGCUUUUGCCCGGUGCACUCUUCUGCUGUCAGGCCAGCAUCGGUUCGGGCGGUCGGAUAAAGGCUUCGGGAAUGUAGCUCCUCUCGAGGAGUGUUAUAGCCCGUUGCGAAAUGCGGCCAGCCUGAACUGAGGUCCGCGCUUCGGCUAGGAUGCUGGCGUAAUGGUUGUAAGCGGCCCGUCUUGAAACACGGACCAAGGAGUCUAACAUCUGUGCGAGUGUUUGGGUGUCAAACCCGUACGCGUAAUGAAAGUGAACGGAGGCGGGAACCCCUCGGGGUGCACCGUCGACCGAUCCUGAUGUCUUCGGAUGGAUUUGAGUAAGAGCAUAGCUGUUGGGACCCGAAAGAUGGUGAACUAUGCCUGAAUAGGGUGAAGCCAGAGGAAACUCUGGUGGAGGCUCGCAGCGGUUCUGACGUGCAAAUCGAUCGUCAAAUUUGGGCAUAGGGGCGAAAGACUAAUCGAACUAUCUAGUAGCUGGUUCCUGCCGAAGUUUCCCUCAGGAUAGCAGUAACGUUUUCAGUUUUAUGAGGUAAAGCGAAUGAUUAGAGGCCUGGGGGUUGAAACAACCUUCACCUAUUCUCAAA
rnacentral:rRNA from 1 species